CGAUUUUUUCGGGGGCGGUAGAGCGUUGGCCCCCAGUGUGGGGGUGAUUCUUCAUCUGCUCUUUAUGCUCUUUCAGAUGUCAGAGUGUCGCCAAAAUCCCAGACACAUGAGGUGCGAUGUUCCCUUGUUAGUACUGCCAAUGGUAUAUAGGCAGUACUAAAAGAAACAUAAGAAAGAGAAUCAAUGAACAUAGGGCUGAUAUUUCUAAAAGAAAAACAGACACUGCCCUGGCUAUGAAAGCUUAUGAAUAGGAUAUAGAGAUAAUCAAGUCAAGGUACCAGGCACAAGGUAAUCAAGCCUCUCCAGAUAAUAUCGGCAUUACCACUACAGAAGCUAUUGAGAUUGAAAAGAGAAGACCCUUCUAUAACAUUAUAAAUGAUAAUCAGCCGACAGAUCUACCCAAUUCUUGGAAGUGGUGCACGAGAAAGAACAUAUAAAUAAAACUUUAUUUAUGUUACAUAGACAUGAUAUGUAUAAUAGAAGUUACUGCAUGAUAGACCAAGAACCUGGUGACAUAUUUUUUAUACUUAUGUGUAUUCACCGAUUUUUGAAAAAUAUUAUGGAGGUAUUCUCCCUUUUAUAUAGCAUCAUCAUAUAUGACUUUGUUGUUUGGGUUUAUGCGGUACUCAUUAACUGUAUUUGUGUACUGUAUCGUUACCUGU
rnacentral:lncRNA from 1 species